AUCUUAAAAACCCUAUUUGCCCCAAUCUUGAUUCUUCGCCCCCAACUCAAUCCAAGCACCGUCCUCUUGGCUGCCGGCCACCACCACCAUCAUCAUCUCCAUCGUCGAACACUAACAUCAUUUGACCCUUCAUUGUCGGUCCUCCACCACUCGAUCUGCAACCCUACCACAAUUGUCAAUCACUCCAUCUUCGAGAGAUUAUCUCGCCGAUAUGCCAAACCCUAAAUGACAACAAUCUCGACGACGAAGCUCUGUAUGCUGUAAUUGACUCUGCUGCUGCCUUUUCGUCUCUGCCCUCCGCCUCCAAACCUAUCAAACCUCAAAACAAUAAUAGUAGUCGUUUCCAUUCUCCCCAAAUCACAUUUCCGAUCAUCUAGAAAUUCACUUCUUCAUCUCCGUCAUCUAGCAACACAAAAUCUAGAAGUCACUCAAUAGCGGAGGGAGAGGUAUUACUAACGGAGAGUUCCAUCGACCAACGCCCAAAGAAGAUCGUCAGGUUUUCUCUCUCUGAAACAACUUAUCCUCCCGCUCCUCUUGUUAUGGUGAAGCACGUGCAUUGCACGCCUACCACACCAUCCUCGUAUUGUUCUUAGUAUCAUAAUCGAAGUCCUGUAAAUUGUUCCUUGGCUUCCUUGGUGAUGACACACAACUUGUCUGUUCGAUUUCCUUCAGUUGACAUCUUCAAAGAAUAUCAGAAUGCUGCUAUGGCGGUAGGGUAUAACACCCAAUAGGAGGCGAGCUUUAUACGAUGCUACUGCUAAAGCUUUAACUUCUCUUCAUUCUACUGAUGUUGAUGCUAUUGGUCUUGAAUAUUAUGGUCAAUCCAGUACAUUGCUUCUAUUGGUGAAGGAAAAUCUGAAAGAAACCUUAAAAUGUUGCAACCUAUUGGCUGGUUGCGUGAGAAUAUUCCUUUUGAAGAUUCUUCCGAAUUGAUAAUCUUGUUUUCCAUCCUGUUGAGGAUAGAGUGAUUGGGAUUCUUGAUUGGGAGUUGUCCACUCUUGGAAACCAGAUGUGUGAUGUUGCAUACAUCUAUAUGGGAAAGCCAUGGCCUCUUGUUGGAUGGAAGUUUUAUAUUGCAUUUUCAUUUUUCCGUGGUCCAUCAAUCUUGGCAGGUAUCCACGGUAGAUAUAUUAUGGUAUGCAUGAUUUAUAUUUAUAAAAGUAGAACACUAAAAAAUGCUAAUUUUGUAUUGGAGUAUUUGAAAUGACUCAAGGAAUCAUGAAUUCCAUUCCACGGAAACGCAUCAGGUGGAAAGAACAUGAUGAUCAAGGGUUUGAAGAUUAGACGAUGGCAUGUGGGAUGCAGAUGAACAAUGGUCAUUGGUCUUCACAAAAGAAAGAACUAUUCGUUGUUAUAUUCUGAUAGAAUAAUCUACAAUUGAAUGAUAAGACUAUAUGUAAUAAUAUAUUCCGCUAGAAUAUUCAGGUGGAAUAAUAUACAUGUUUUUGUUUGUUAUUAGUUAGUGUUUCAUUGUCAUAAAAUAUUAUAUAAAAUUUUUAUUUUUUAAGAAUGUAAUGAAAAAUUUAAGUUGUAUUCAAAAAUUUGUUAUUAGUC